rnacentral:rRNA from 1 species
UACGUAGGUGGCAAGCGUUGUCCGGAUUUACUGGGCGUAAAGAGCGCGCAGGCGGUCGUUCAAGUCGCGUGUGAAAGCCCCCGGCUCAACUGGGGAGGGUCACGCGAUACUGAUCGACUCGAAGGCAGGAGAGGGUAGUGGAAUUCCACGUGUAGCAGUGAAAUGCGUAGAGAUGUGGAGGAACACCGAUGGCGAAGGCAGCCCCCUGGGUUAACACUGACGCUCAGGCACGAAAGCGUGGGGAGCAAACAGG